UGAGAAUAGCUCUUAAUUGGCUAUUUUAUUCAAACUAUAGAACUAGACUUAGAGAGUAUUUUAAAUAUGUGAUGAAUAUGGCCUUAGAGAAAGAAAGGUUCCUAAACCUUUCCCGACUAGGUGGAAUUGAAUGUAAGAAAGUUUAGUAGUUGCGUAUGAAUAUAGAACCCAAUUAAUGCUACGUUUGAUUCUCGGGUAGGUGGUGAGGAUGAUGAUGAAAUGCUUACUACCCAAGAUUAGACUAAUGUUA
rnacentral:lncRNA from 1 species